CUUACCGGCAGGCCGUAACACCUGCUUUGCGCGGCUCGCGGGGACCGGCGGAUAGCGGAAAAGGCACAAGAAGAUAUAGAGAGAAGCGGGGUUUCUUCUGGCAGCAUUGGGAUCAAGGCAGGAACCAACCCUCGACCAUCUUGAUGUCAGUCGGUUACGUACGCGCUUACAUUGAGCCAAUUUAGAGUGACGUGUUGGGGGCAAAGAUGUUUGUGAUGCUCCAUCUGUUGGAAUGAUCGAGGCAUAGCAACUGGAUGGACACACAGAUACAAAGACACCUGUCCUUUUUAUUAAGGUGGAUUUUCUUGUAUGCAAUUGUUGUCUAUCUUACAGUCCAUAAUCCACUCUGCAAAUUUAUUAAAGGAUUUCUCUCAAUCUAAGUUUAUUAAAGUGAACUUUCAUUUCCUGUCACCUGCUUGUUUUAUUGCAUUUCUUAAUGCGCAGCAUUUUUCUGUUCUGUUUCUCCUUGGUAUUGCACGUGUUCUCUAAGGAGGUUUAUUUAUUUAUGUAUUUGUUUGUGAGUUUAUUGCCAGAUAUCCAUAAAAACAUGA